GGGGAAUAUUGGACAAUGGGCGAAAGCCUGAUCCAGCAAUGCCGCGUGAGUGAUGAAGGCCUUAGGGUUGUAAAGCUCUUUUACCAGGGAUGAUAAUGACAGUACCUGGGGAAUAAGCACCGGCUAACUCCGUGCCAGCAGCCGCGGUAAUACGGAGGGUGCGAGCGUUAUCCGGAUUUACUGGGUUUAAAGGGUGCGUAGGUGGGCUUAUAAGUCAGUGGUGAAAUCUCCGAGCUUAACUUGGAAACUGCCGUUGAUACUAUAGGACUUGAAUUAUCUGGAGGUAAGCGGAAUAUGUCAUGUAGCGGUGAAAUGCUUAGAUAUGACAUAGAACACCAAUUGCGAAGGCAGCUUACUACAUAUAAAUUGACGCUGAGGCACGAAAGCGUGGGGAUCAAACA
rnacentral:rRNA from 1 species